rnacentral:rRNA from 1 species
AUGGCUAAAAAUAAAAUGAAGACUAUGGAUUCUUUCUAUAAGAAGAAAAUUAGACUUGAUGAGGCAUUGGUUUCAGAUGUUUCUUGUCCUGAUUUGGAAGAAGCAGAGGGAGGGGGAGGGGGAGAGGAGCAGGAAGAAGAAAAAGAAGAAGAUGGAGGGGAGGAGGAGCAACCUGUUGAGGAGGAGGAAGAAGAAGAGGCUCCACUUAUAAUUAAUAGGGUCAAUGAUGGUAGUGGUGUUCUGGUAGUGGAAAGAGACCCAGGGCUGCGUUGCCAACUUUGGGAUCGUCCUGUCAAUGACCAAGAGAAAGCAAGAAAAGCGUAUGUGAAGUGUGGAGCAUAUCACUUUAAAAAGGAAAUAUACCCUCCUACUGGUCCAGAAAGCCACCCACGCAUGUUUCAAUAUCAUUGGUUCAAGGCAUUUCCUUGGUUAGAAUACUCACCUACAGAAAAUGCAGUCUUUUGCUUUCUAUGUUUUCUAUUUUCUAAGAAGCCACUUGGGAAAGUUGGAUCAGAUGUGUUCACUGUGAAAGGGUUCAAGAAUUGGAGAAAGGUUAACAAACAGGAAAGAAACAAUUUGAGAUGUCAACUACAACAUUAUGAGCUUGAUGUACCUACAAAUCCAAGGUUUUAG